rnacentral:rRNA from 1 species
UACGUAGGGUGCAAGCGUUGUCCGGAAUUAUUGGGCGUAAAGAGCUCGUAGGCGGUUUGUCGCGUCUGCUGUGAAAACGCGAGGCUCAACCUCGCGCCUGCAGUGGGUACGGGCAGACUAGAGUGCGGUAGGGGAGAUUGGAAUUCCUGGUGUAGCGGUGAAAUGCGCAGAUAUCCGGAGGAACACCGGUGGCGAAGGCGGCUUCCUGGACCGACACUGACGCUGAGGCGCGAAAGCUAGGGGAGCAAACGGG